UUUUGUUGGAGAGUUUGAUCCUGGCUCAGGACGAACGC
rnacentral:rRNA from 1 species